rnacentral:lncRNA from 1 species
AAUGCGCCAUUUGCAAAGUUGCAAGUUUCAACCUCCGUAGUUUUCUAUUGCAUGGAUGUAAAAAAUAUCUCUUUUAGGACAAGAAAGCCAGUUCCCUAGCGUAUUGAAUGCAUGUAAAGAUUUCAUUCUGGAACAUUUGGUUUAGCAUAUUUUUGAACAUGAAAAAUUGUCAAAAUUUGUGUAAAAUGCUCGCGAAAAUAAGUGAUUUUGAAACGUUAAUAUCUUAUUCAUUUUUCAAUGUAAAUUCAUGAUGUUGGUCUCAUUCGAUAGCUAAACCCUUUCUUGUAUUGCUGUUAAUUUGUCACAGUUUACAAAAUUGGGGAAGGACCUGAUUUUUUGCUCAGAAAAUGACACACCACGGUAAACAACAAUGGCCGCGCCGUUACAACAAAGGUGCAGGUUUGGGCGAUAAUUUAGCAAAAAGUAAAUAAGAUAUGAAACUGAAAAUUUAAUACAAUGAGGAUAAAAGUAUUGGCUUUUAAAUGAGACCAUUUUCAUCUUUCUGCGAUCAGAAAUAAGUUCAAAACAUUGAUUUGAAAUGACCCUGUCAUUCACCAUUUCUCGUCUUUUUUUUUGCAUUUUCCGAGAAUAGGGUCACGUAAGGUCGCUACGUCAUCACUCACGUCAUUUAGGAGCUGGACAUAACAAUAUCAAUAUGGCUUUCAACGGUCACAAGUAUUUCUCUGAAAUAAAAUCAUUUUAUUGUGUUUGUAGAUGGAGGAUCGGAAAAAAACUUUAUGAGAAAAUACAUCUCAGAAUGCCUGCCGUUAAAAAUUACCAAGGAUGGAGGCGAAUGCAUGAUACAGGAGCUGAAAAAAAGAGCAACAUGUCCAGACCUGCCAAAUAUGAAGUGUGAAGCAUACUGAAGUGAUGUGUGUGUGUGUUCCACAGCUGUAAAUUAUGGAAAGAAAAGCAGUGCACUGCAGUGAAUUGCACAGGCCAAGAUGUCUCAAGUUGUACAUUCAAACAGAAGUGAUGGGUGACAGGCUUUUACUAGCAACUUGUGAAGAAAAAUCAGGUAGCUAGAGCAGAGACCAGAUGCUGUGAUGGUGGUGAUGCAAACAGGGAGAGACGUUUUACAAUUGAAAUGAUAGACUCUGAUAUUUACAUGUAUUGUUUUGUAUGAUGAACUUUGUCCGUGCAAGUGGCUAUGCCCGUAAAAGAGGCACACUUUUGCUUAUUGUGUUUGUUGUAUUUCAGUAUAAAAAGUAAUGGUAAAGGUCUCCGAGAUGAAGGUUUAAUGUUGUUGUCUGUAUUAUGAGUCCAAUAGCCUGUCCUGUCUGUCCGCAAUUAAUACUUUGCCAGCUUGUAUGCUAAGUAUGCUAUCCCAAUGAAAUGUUAAGAGACACUGGCAUUCACCAGUGUGAGUAAACAUGUUCACUCAUGCUGGUAGUGCCUUUGUGUAUUAAGUGUACUUGGUAGGCAAGUGUGGUCUAUCACAUCUCGGAGAUACAUAUAAUUAGAUCAGACAAGGGUCGUUGACAAAGAUAAACAUGAGACGUGUUAUACUAUUUAACUAUACUUCUGAGAUACUCAGUAAGGUAGAUGGGCCUUCAAAAUUUCAACACUGAACAACAAAACUCUUGAUUUCUGACUGAUCAUUUUUCUUGAACGUCUCAUUUUAUCUUUGUCACCGAGCCCUUCAUAUAUCCAACCGCAGGCUACUGCGUCGAAAUUGCAGUCAAAUCUCUGGUACUCUUGGUAUUGAAAAUAUAUAGCACUUACAAAGUAUAGUCUCAAUGCGAUAACUUGAACAUUAUGUAAGACCAUUACAAAAUCCUAGAGAUGUCUCUUAUCAAACUAUCAAGUAAGCUGUAAUGCAAAAUCAUAACAAGACUAGUAUCAAGCUAUCGGAAUGUCAAAACAUGACCAUAAGGCUAUAUCAGAGAUUUGAAAUGCUUUUCGAUGCACUAGUAUGAUGUUGGAAAUUUAUCCUACAUCCAACCGUAAUCCUACAUGAUGGUAUAAUUGUAUCAUAGUCCUUACCUGAUGUUGAGCACUUUUUCCUCCCUUAUUUGGAUUUCUGAUCGGCAUGGGUUAAGUGUAAUGCUGGUUGUCAUGACCCGACU